UACGAAGGGUGCAAGCGUUAAUCGGAAUUACUGGGCGUAAAGCGCGCGUAGGUGGUUCAGCAAGUUGGAUGUGAAAUCCCCGGGCUCAACCUGGGAACUGCAUCCAAAACUACUGAGCUAGAGUACGGUAGAGGGUGGUGGAAUUUCCUGUGUAGCGGUGAAAUGCGUAGAUAUAGGAAGGAACACCAGUGGCGAAGGCGACCACCUGGACUGAUACUGACACUGGAGGUGCGAGAGCGUGGGGAGCAAACAGG
rnacentral:rRNA from 1 species